UAGAUGGGCCCCACUACUUCACCAUCUUAGCCCUGCAUGUCCUCCCCCCUGAGCAGUGGAAAGCCACUCGAGUGGAGAUCCUACGCAGGCUGCUGGUGGCCUCGCAUGCCCGGGCAGUGGCUCCAGGAGGAGCCACCAGGUUGACAGAUAAGGCGGUGAAAGACUAUUCUGCCUACCGUUCUUCCUUGCUGUUCUGGGCUCUCGUUGAUCUCAUUUAUAACAUGUUUAAGGUAAGGCGCGUCAGGGCCCAGUCAGCCCUGAUAGGAGAUUUGUGCGUGUCCUUGGCCAAACCCUUUUGGUGGCCACAUCGCAAGGCUUUUUACUGGCUUUGGGCUCUUUGCCCAAAGAACCACUUAGGGAGAGGUGCACACCCUCAGCUCAGACCUGCACUUCCAGCUGUCAGCAGCUGAGGCCACUUUGUCAUGCACCCUCCAGACAGUAAGCUCUAAGCACACUGAUAGACUUCCUGCUCUUUUUCUGUGUAACACUUUACCCCAUGUAAAUUAGCCCUACACAGCCCCACUUAAAGUCGGAUGGCCUGCUCACUAUUUGCCUGGACCCACACAUCUGUGGGGAGGGUAGUGAGCCCUUUGAUCAUCAGGGGAGUGGUCUAGUCAGAGCAUGUCAGUCAAAUUUGGGUUUCAGAAACGCAGGUGUGGGGUGUCCCAUGUUGAAAUGGUGGGAUCAUAUAGAGCAUUACAUAAACAAAGAGGGCCUCGAGAGAACAAGGCUGGUGAACCCUGCAGGCAGGACCUCCUUGUUUCCAGAAAGG
rnacentral:lncRNA from 1 species